CUGUGGCCUCCAGCAGCCCUUGAGCACCUCCCCGGGCUGGCGGCAUUAAGAGCCCUUUGUAAGAACACCGACGGCCUGGGGACCAGAGGCUGCCCCGCACGCUGCAGAGCUGAGUGCAUCCUCCCUGGGCAAGGAGACCAGGGCACCUUGGCAGCUCCCAGCAGGCAGAUGUGGUCCUUGGUAGCUCACAGAGUCCUGUGUGGCUCCUUGUCAAGGAUAUAGGGAGACUCAGGAGCUACUCCCUGAGUGUCAGCUUAAAGCCCCCCAGCCCUUUACAGAGCUGUGGGGGUCCCGGUGCCUGAAGAAACGUGCGGCAGAGUCUGCGGCCGUCAAGCAGGGUGGAAGCUGCAGCUCUACGGGCAGCCCCUGUGGAACGGGCGUACCCCCCCAACGAGAGGCAGAGGACAGUGUGUGUGGGCCCAAGGUCGGGUCACCUUCGGGAGAGACUGGCCAGGGCCAGGGGCCCCAGUGAAGCAGGACAGGGAGAGAGUUUGGAGUCGAAGACCUCAGUGGAGACACUGCCCAGCUUCAUGGCCCUACAGGACCCUCAUGGGACCAAGGAGAGCAUUUUUCUAGCAAUAUUCAUCUUUGGCUGUGCAGUGAAAGUAACUUUGGCAGAAGUGGCCUGUCCCUCCCUGCCUGGUGUGUGGGAGGGGAAUUCAAGGGUGUUUGUCCGUCACACUUAGAAAGGUCUGGACUGUGUAAUCAGGAGGUGGCUUGUGGAUGUGAGAGGUCCAGGGGCCCUGCAGGUAGCACUUUGGAUGACCUUCAGGUGACUUUGUUCUUGUCUACUCUGAUACAAGUUUCUAUUUGCUUUUUUUUUAAAGAAAUGGCCCGUAUCACCAUGUCCGCGUGGUGCCAGGCCCAGCGCAGACUGCGCCACUGCCUGCCGGUGCCUGUUGACUUUGUGGUGUGUUUAUCCCGGGUGUGUGUGUACGUGAGGGAACGCGCUCUCCUCACGGCGCACCUCCCGUUUCUGCGGAGGGCUUUGUUCCACGGUGGCCACCUGACAGAUACCCCUCCUGCCGGCGCUUAGAAAUAUUUACUCUCCCCCCGACGCCCUCAAACGGUGCUCCCCGCGCACCCGGCAGGAUCUCGCCUGACCUUGUUUUCCUUGCGAGUUCGGGCACCGACUCCCUGGCUUUGGGACCACCUUUGAGUUUUGUUGCUUCUAUCAGAUGGGACGGGGGGCAGCCAUGUGCGUCGGUGCCUUCGGGAGCUGACAUUGGAACUGGGCAGGAAGCCACCACCUCCUCUGAGAAGGAGAGAGAGGAGGAAGCAGGGGGCGGGAAUUAAGUGGCAGCCACCUCUGCCUGAAAUGAAUGAUGUCCGUCAAUCAAGGAGGUUUCUCCCCACCUCCAGCCACCUCAGUUGGGGCCUUUGGGCAGGAAAACUGACAUCUUACCCUUAAGCAGCCUUCCCAGAAUUUUCCACCUGUCCCGAAAGAGCUGAUUGCUAUUUCCCCCUGGUUUUUGCCUUCCCUGAGGUGGCCCCGGAGGGAGAAGUGACUUGCGGGUGACUCCUUCUCUGAGGACUUCUUCCUCUUGCCGACUGCCUGGCCUGUCUUCCAAGUGCCGUGAACAGGGGCCUGAGACGGGACGGGAACACCAGGCUUCAGGGCUGGGAUCCCUCUGUAGUUCCAGACACGAGAAGGACCUUCUGCUGAGUCCCCUUCCCAAGCCACUCACACCAACAAGCGGCCCUGCUAGCCCUUCUCCUCCAUGCCCCUGCAGUGAGCUCGGCCAGAGCAGGCCUGGUACAGAGAAAAACAUGGGUGCCAGCAUCACACCAGGGGGAUCCCAAGUCAGGCCUGGGACAGAGAAAAACAUGGGUGCCAGCGUCACGCCAGGGGGAUCCCAAGUCAGGCCUGGGACAGAGAAAAACAUGGGUGCCAGCGUCACGCCAGCAAGAUCCCAGGUCAGGCCUGGGACAACCCAUGCGUGCGUGUCGUCUCUGAUGGUCCUGAAUUUCAUAUGUAUAAUUGUUCACUUUCACACUGGUAAUUAAGUGUUAUGAAUCAGAGUGAUUUGACUUUACUGUAAUGUCCACGGUAUUUAUUUACUGAAAAAGAACAAGUAAAGAUAUUUUAGUAAAGAUAACAAGCAAAAUCCAAGAAGGAUCGGUGUCAUUUUGGCCUCCCUCCGUGCUGGCCUAGAGCACGGUGUUGUGGCCACUCUGAGCUCAGAAGUGGGAUUCCCCUGGAGGAGAGGGGGUCUGGGAGUGGCGUGAGCAAAGGGAUCUCACCAGGCAGCAGCCCCUGCAGGAACAGGGUGCGCGUCUCUUGAAGGAUAGGUUUGAAAUAAAAGUCACGUGGAUUAUUCUUACUGUCAUUUUGGGACACCAUGGAAACCAUUUUCUUUCUACUCUGAGAACAAAGUUCUUGUUCUGGAGAAUUCAGUUGAAAUAAAAUGAGAAGGUCCAAUUUCCUUUCUCUUUGUAUAGCAAGAGACACAGUGCCAGGCAACCCUCGGCUUUGGGAUGACUGGGGAGGGUCAGGGGCUCUUCUCUCCCUGACAUGGGGCCGAUGUAGAUGACAGCAUGACUCCCUGGGGAUGAGAGAUGGGGCGGGCAGCACGUGAGGCACCCACGAGCUUUGGGUUCAAGGUCGUGGGGCAGCCUUACUUCAAGGUCGUGGGGCAGCGUUACUUCAAGGUCGUGGGGCAGCCUUACUUCAAGGUCGUGGGGCAGCCUUACUUCAAGGUCGUGGGGCAGCCUUACUUCAAGGUCGUGGGGCAGCCUUACUUUAAGUGGGAGCUUUCCGUUAGCAACGCAGGAAUGAGGCUGGGGGUCGGGAGCUGAGUUUCCUCCGGCCUCAGUUGCUGGUCGGAAGCCUGCAUUCCUUCUACGCUGAGGCUGACGCUUUUGGGAGGGCCGCCCCCUCCUCUCUCCCUCCUGUGUGUUAGGAAUAGUCGCUGACUAAACCCGCUUUGUUCCUGGGUGCUGCGAGGCAUCCUGAGCUGUGCCCUGAGUCAGAUGCCCCACCCCCGACCUGGGGGCUCACUCUGUGCAUGGCUGUGUGUGUGCCCCAGGGGUGUGUGGAAACGGCCCCCUGGGCUUCAUCUCAGGGAGGGGGCUUGUCAGGAAGUGCACCCGAAAUUCCUGGCCUCCUCCAUCUGGACACAGCCGGGCUCAGUCUCUUCCCAAAUACCACGCCCCGCCGGUCGCCGCCGAAGCCCACCUGCCUGGAGGAAAUCACCCGUGAGCGCAUUUGCUCGCCGUGGGGUCUGCAAAAACAAUGAUUUUCACAUUUGUUGAGUAAAUCAUGACAUUUAUCAUCAUGCUGUUUAUUUUGCUAAUUAAGAGGCGGCUGCCCGGUGACAGCCCAGAGGGAGGAGGCCAUGGGUGAGGCACUGGGGAGGCCACCUGCCCCCGGCUGGGCCUUCAGCUGUGUGUCCAGGGUCCUGCAGCUUGGGGCCUGCUGGGGCGGGAUCCCGCAGGACCCCCAGGGGAGGCACUGGGGGCACUUUGCUCACUGCAUCAGCCACUGUCUCCCACCCAAGGUCUGCUUGUUUCUUUGUUGACUGUGUCUCCCCAGAAAGGCUCUCGAAGGCAUCAGCGGCCCUGCCUGUAAUCAGAACGCUGAUGAGUAAGUGCCUCUGCCUCUGCUGAAGAGGCCAGGUGAAAAAUGUUAAUGUGAAUUGAUGGGGUUUCAAUUAUUUGAAGAAUGUGCUGAAGUGGACGACCUCACCCCUGGCGUUAUUUACUGAAUAUUAAUGUGUGUUCAUUUGUUCAAUCAACAAAUGCACUGUAUCUGGGCCAGGGCCUGUGGGAAGCUCUGGGGUCAGCCCAGAGGCCUUGGGCCACACCAAUUCUCUGGCACUGCCAUCAUGGGACCCCCAAGCCGGUGCCUCCUGGGUCCCCAGAGCCCACUGAGAGCCUUUGGCAGGGCCAGGACCUGCCAGUCUCCCCUGUGGACCAGGAGCUACACAGCAGCCAGGGAUGGGUGAGAGCAAGUAGAGCCUGCACUCUGAGAAGAUGAGAAAUGUCCUCACAUGUAAUAUGGAAUUUUAUCCAAAACACCCAGCCUUGAAGAAAGGCAGGAUUUCCAAGGAAGUAAAACCUCUUCUGUGGACACAGGCCUGUCCCCCUACAUGUGUUUGGAAUACUGAUGCUCUUCUGUUCCUGAGUGGGAGAAAUGAGAAAUACAUUUGCAGGUCCAUUUUGGUCCCAGGUGAUAGGAUGACGAUGGAGUGGGGUGAGGGCAGCCCAGCCAGGCACCUGGCUCCCUGGGACAGCAGGAGGGACAGUGCUAUGGGGCUUCAGUCUCCGACAUCACAGCACAAAUGUCCAUGAUUGGCUUUUAAAGGCACCGUGAGGCAGGCGUAAAAAGGUAGCACCCAGAACCAGCUUCCCCACAUACCAGGAAGCACUGGAGGGCCCCAAGUGCUGAGACCCGGUUCAGUCCGAUGGCAGGAGGGGCAAUGGCAAAUUUACUCCAGGGUUUUUGCAAUGUGGCCAGGUCCACAGGGUAGGGUAGGGAAUCACCCAGGCCACCCUUUCCCACACACAAACCCCAGUCCCUUCUCCCUUCCUCCUGAAUGUCCUGUCAGCAGCAAAUAUUAACAUGAUUUGCUGCAGGAGAUUGUGUGUGAGCUUGCACACACAAAUAGCCCCCACAGCUUAAUUUUUGCCUAAAGUCCUAGACAGAGCCUUGGCCUCUAAGGAUGGGGAUCAUCCGUGUCGCCAGCUCAUCUGGGCUCGGUAGCUUUUGGAGCUGGCUGUCUUGGGGCAUGCGGGUUGGGUGCCUGCAGGCCUUGCUUCUCUGGGAGUUCCGGCUGGGUUUUGAGCCAGAAGAUCCUGGAGAGACACUUCCAGGCUCUGGAUUAAUGACCAGGCUCAGGGUGUUAGGAGGAGACCCUAAGGAGUCAGCCCCUACAUCCAGACCUCAUGCUCUGGCCUGCUCAUGUUCCAAUUGGGCAAUCUCUUCAUGAGGGAUGUGGGUUCAGGACUGGGUUUGGGGAAGUAGGAGGUCCUAUUGGAGGCUCUGCCUUUCUACCGUUUUCAUGGCAGUGGGCGGGGCUUGGUGCUGGUGUAGGAGCUGGACUUAGACCCCUCCGUCGGUCCUGGGCUGGGGAAUCAAGGUGAGCUUGGCCACAGGUCUGAGCCCAGGCAGAAGCGACCCUGUUUUAACCAAGCCCCAGCUCCUGCCCAGGAGGGAUUGUCGAGGCUCCUGGGACUCUGCUUCAGUCCCUUUCAGUCCCUGUGGCCCAUGAGCAAACAGGAAACCAAGAUCAACCCAGAGACAGACACACCCGGCUGCCUUGUUGCCAUAAAGACCCUCGGUGCUCAAAGUGUGGUCCCUGAGCCAGCAGUGCUGGCCUCCCUGCAGGUUUGUUGGAAAUGAAGAACCUUGGCCCCUCUCUGGGACUCACUGAGUCACCACCUGCAAUUGAGCGAGAUCCCUGGUGAUUCAUGUGCACAGCUGAGUUUAGGAAGGACCCGGCCAGACAGCGAGUACCCAGCAGUCACAGCGGCCAGACGGCGAGUACCCAGCAGACACAGCGGCCAGAUGGUGAGUACUGAGCAGACGCAGCGGCCAGACGGCGAGUACCCAGCAGACACAGCGGCCAGACGACGAGUACCCAGCAGACGCAGCGGCUUACCAGGGGGCAGCUUUGGGUGUGUUGCAGGCAUUGGGAGAGUCACCAAUGUUCCCUGACGCUGUGGAAGGAUGCACUGCCUUCCUGCCCGUCCCGCCUCCAGGGCUGACCUCCUGAGGCUUCGGGCUCCUGCCCGGCCCCCCAAGGGGAUGGAGCGGCAGCUCCCACCAGUGCCAGGUCUAGCCAUUCCUAGGAGAUCUCCAGGCUGCCUCAUGGCUCUGGGAUUCAGGAAGAAGGGGCACCUGCCAGCCACCAGAGGCUGGUUUGAACCCAGAAGUGUUUGACAUAGCUCUCCUCUGUAGAAGCAGAACUUGUGUGUCCAGCGCCCACUGCUCAGUGGGCUGGGUGCUCCCUUUGCACCCCUGGAGCUGUCCACAGCCAUGGACCUCCGCACUCUCCAUCCCAUCCGGCUCUGGGGGACCCCAGGAUGGCAGGCAAGGAAGGCUCAACCCAGGGAGCUCCUGUGGCUCAGACAUAUUCUGAGAAGUGCGCCCACCCAGCCGGGGAGGAGGUGCAAGCCCCUGCCCCCCAACAAUGUCUGCUGAAUGCAUAGGAAAAUGUUCCCAGAUGCACGCUCCACUGCCCACACCACCCCCACGGUUGAGUGGGCUCGGCCCCGGGACGUGGCCUGGCUCUGGGCACCUCUGCUGCUCCACUCUGCGUGGAGAGUUCUGCGUGAGGCCAGGAAGCUUUGCCGCGCUUCCCCACUCAGGAGCUUCUGGAUGUUUCUAUGGAGGCCUCACGUCUAAAACCGUGAGCGCACCGGCCAGUGGAUGCUCUGAGGAGUGUUCCCGUGGAGCCAGCACCGGGCAGCUCGGCGAGGCACACAGCGUCGGGAUUUGGAGAGAGACGGGGCCCUGUGGGAUGGUGCGGAGCCUGAGGCCACCGUGGGGACAGGGAUGCAGAGAAACCCAUGGGCCUCGGCGUUGCUCCGGGAGAAGCCGGCAGUGCCGUGGAGGAGUCACAGCACAGGCUUCCCAUGUCCCCCGGCACCGUGACAUCAGCCCUAGACGUUUUUAGCCCAAGAAUGCCAUGAAAUCCUGCACUAUCUUCGGCCCGGCUCGGAGGCACGGGUAUAUAAGGAAUUUUAGAAAAAAGGAGAGAGAAUGACUAAGAAUACCUCCCUGAUGGCUCUCCUUUACUUCCUUAAGGGGUAAUAACUCCGCUGCAGCCCAGCAGAGGGGACUUUCUUUAAAUAGAGCAUUCUGAUUCACAAGCGAAAAAGGAAAUAAAUAUUUUCUUUUCAUAUUCGA